rnacentral:lncRNA from 1 species
GGCGCACAAGCUACACGAAGAGUUGGGAGAAAAAAGGGCGAUGGAAUAUCGACUUCGCGCUUUUACUGGAGACGAUUUUGUGCUCAACUCUCGGUAUUAUAAAAACGACAGAUAGUAUAUACGUUGCAUUAAAUAUAGAACUGUGUUUUAAAAGAUUGUAAAUAUGUACAGAGAAGAUAUCUUUGCAUAAUAAAUAACUUGUUAAACUAUACAGAAAUUACAGCUAGACGGCGUCAAGUAAACGUAAAGACUUAUCUCUUAAAUUUUAGUCGAAUUUUGGCAAUGCCUAGAACUUUCGAUCAUUGGUUUCUUUGUCAAGGCAUUAUCCCUAAAUUUUUUGUCGAAGGCCAAACCUCUUAAUUUUUAGUAAUUUUUUUACCAAUGGCAAUGUUAUAAACCUCUUACUUUUCAG